CCUACGGGAGGCAGCAGUGGGGAAUAUUGGACAAUGGGGGGAACCCUGAUCCAGCGACGCCGCGUGAGUGAAGAAGUAUUUCGGUAUGUAAAGCUUUAUCAGCAGGGAAGAAAAUGACGGUACCUGACUAAGAAGUCCCAGCUAACUACGUGCCAGCAGCCGCGGUAAUACGUAGGGGGCAAGCGUUAUCCGGAUUUACUGGGUGUAAAGGGAGCGUAGACGGUGCAGCAAGUCUGAUGUGAAAGGUCGGGGCCCAACCCCGGGACUGCAUUGGAAACUGUUGAACUGGAGUGCAGGAGAGGUAAGCGGAAUGCCUAGUGUAGCGGUGAAAUGCGUAGAGAUUAGGAGGAACACCAGUGGCGAAGGCGGCUUACUGGACUGUAACUGACGUUGAGGCUCGAAAGCGUGGGGAGCAAACAGGAUUAGAUACCCGGGUAGUC
rnacentral:rRNA from 1 species